UAAUAGGUGGGUGUGGAAGUUUAGCUCACCACUGUGCCUUGCUGACCCAGAGAUGGGGUACAGGAACCUGCUUACUAGUCCUAACACCACCGUCAGUCUAGUUGAUGCUAAGUAGGAGCGGAGGCUCAGUUGCAGCUGGUCCCUGGCAGGGGAUUCUGAGUACUGCCUGCUUCUUCUGGACAAGUAAUGGAAGGUCACACUAUCCUCUCAUAAAGUGAGAGCAAGACGGCCAAGCCCAGGAAACUGCAAGAGUGCCUUAUGAACUGACACUGUGACCCAAUCCAGCCCCAAGCUUUCAGCCUGUAAAUGACUGAAAAUUCUGCUAAGAUUGCUUGAAGAUAUUUAUAAAACAGUAUUUGGAUAUUACAGAGGAAAAACAACAAAAAUCUCAAGCUCGAAUGUGAACAAGUGUGCAUGGGCACCAUCCAUUGGGAGAUUCAACAGUUGAUGGAGACUGGGCAGCAGGAAGGACUCACUCAACCUCAGGAACAGGGCAAGAUCCCAUAGACGCAUAAAGUCAAAUUUGCUAUGUUCCGAAUUUGCCAUUUUAACAGACUUUCAAGUGCAGUUAAUUUUUUUAUUAUUAUUAUUAUACUUUAAGUUUUAGGGUACAUGUGCACAAUGUGCAGGUUUGUUACAUAU
rnacentral:lncRNA from 1 species